rnacentral:lncRNA from 1 species
GUAUUAGUGGAUAUUUAGCAAAUGAGUUGGUUGAUAGGUCACUGGAUGGAAGGAUGGGUAGUAGAUGAAGAAAUUACUAAAUGAAUGAAUACAGUCUGUCCCCCUCAUUUUAAAAGCAAGGCAACUCCAUCUGGUUCAUCAUCUGUGAAAUGAAGGAUCAAACUAGGCGAUUUUUAAGGUUACCUCCAGCUCUCAUGUUCGAGGUCCUGAGAGUCCAUAAAUCACAACUGAUUAUUGCCAUUGGAAUCAGAGAGACUUCUUGGCUUGACUGCUUGGGAGAAUUCAAAGGACUCCCAGGUUCAUGAUUAAGGAUCAAAAAGCCCAUGGAGCCCUCCUGCACUGGGAUAAAUAAAUCCCGGGCACGGGCUGUGUGUCCUCUUGUCCUAGUUGGCAACACUCACCGUACCCCAACAUACCUGCUGAGGGAAGAAGCCUCAAGCAAAACAGGUUUCGAGCCGGCUCAGCAACAGUGCAGCUAUACAUUCCUGUAAAUUUCCAGGGCCAUGCCAGGGCCUGGACAGGCGAGUGUGUGCCGCUAUUUUACAUAGCUCCAGUGGCUACCUUUGCUUACCCCAUAAUCUGUGGGUGUGGUUUUCAGGAGAGACUUGUGUAGAUUUAGGUCAGAGGUGAGGAUAGAAAUAAUUCCUUACUUAGCUUUCCAUGGAGGGGAAAAGAGUGAGGACACACCAUUUCCUCUCUUUCAGGCUAGAGAAGAAGGGGACCCGAGAUUCAGUUCAAGUCAGAGGACCCGUCUUGAUGCCAGCCACAUGCUCUGCUUUAUAUGAGGUGCUAUGGAAAAUACAAACUCCUUGGGUCUUGUCCUCAAGGAGUUUGCACUGCAGUGAGGGAGAUCAGUAAUGUACUUAGGAUGACAUGGGUAAGUUCUUUGGGGAGAAGAGAAGAAAGAAGAAACGAGAAAGAGGUCCCACAGUUAGUGGCAGAGCUGGGACCACACUGGUGUAUUCUCACAGUCCCUUGGUGCCCCUCCUACCUGCCCUUGAACGUGACAGUCAAAUGAGAUAAAGGAUGAGGAAGUGUUUUGUCAACUGUACCGGUGGUUGUUAUAUCUGUAGUUAAUAUCAAUCUUUCCCCUACAAACCUAUCCCAGGGCUCAAAAAUCCCACGGUUAGCUACAUCUUCACAGGCUUGGUAAAAUGUGAAUAUUUUACCAGAGCAAAGCACAUGAAUACCCCAGAGCACACCAGCAGAUGUGUUUAUCAGAGUAGCUAAGAAUAAAUGUCACUUAGCAGAGGACA